AGAGACAGGCCUCGGCGUGGAGGAGUCACCUGAACAAGGCCCCGUGCAGCCUGUGGAGCCCAGGACAAGGCAUCCCAUUAAAGACGAGCACCUGCUUCCCGGCAGGCCGGAACUGACGAGGCCUCAAAGAACAAGCUGGAAUCUGUCAGAACCCAAAGAGAACACACUCGGCUACGCGCUGAGCCGAGAGCCACAGCGGGUGUCUGGCGAAGGCACCAGGGUAAGGACCUGCUGAGGGACAAGGUUAGGACACCCUCUGCCCCCUCGAAAAUUUUUUUUUUUUUUUGAGGCGGGUCUGCGCUCUACCAUCGCCAGGCUGGAGUGCAGUGAGUGCGAUCUCGGCUCACUGCAGCCUCUGUCUCCCGGAGUUCCGCGCCAUUUUUCCUGCCUCAGCCUCCCGAGUAGCUGGGACUGAGGCACCUGCCACCAUGUCCGGCUAAUUUUUUUUGUAUUUUUAGUAGAGACUUGAGACCGCAGUGUAAGCCAGGAUGGUCGCAAGUCUCUCCUGACCUCGUGAUCCACCCACCUUGGCCUCCCAAAGUGCUGGGAUUACAGAGUGAGCCACCCCAGCCCGACCACCCCCUCAAAAUUUCUAAGUACAAAGCUGCUGAACAUCUGGGCACCCAGAGCAGGAGCCUCCUGCACACCGAGCGGAGGUGAUGACCAGAGGUGCUGAGGGCAGGAGGACCAAAGCUGAGUCCUGGGCCACUUGGAACAGCCUUGGGACUCAGAGGCAGUCCCUUCACCCUUCUUGGCCUCAGUGUUCUCAACUGUAAGUGGGGAACCCCAGAACAUGCAUCUCCCGGGAGGUUACGCCUCACAGAAGAUGCUCUGCCCGGAUAUCCAGUCCCUCCGUCUGCAGAUAAGGAGGUGGAGGAGGGAGGGAGAUGGACAGGCAGGGGGACAUUUCCAUUUGGCGCCAGGCCUUGUGUUUGACACACACUGUUUCAUUUGAUUUCCUCCCAUGCCUCUGCAAUUUGCACUGGAGAUGAGGGCUCAGUCCCCAGAGACCCCUGUUUCUCCUCACUCACACCUGAGACAGCUUCAGAGAGCCUGACCUUGCCUGGUGGAAUCAGAGCAGUUGACGAGGCGGGGAGGGAAGGAGGCCCAUGCCCAGAGGUUACAGAACCAUCAGGGACACACACUCAGAGACCAAGGAGGCAGGGACUGGGACAUGUAGGUCAGUGCCAGAGGGCCCCGUGUGAAACCCAAUUACAACCUGCUGGCACGAAGGGAGUGUGGCGUCCUCAGACCUUGGGGAAGGUCGCAGGGUCAGCGUGGCUGCAGCCGAGCUGGUUCUGUUUAUCCCGGCCGGCCGGCAGGCAAGCUCUAGGGCUCAGAUCCCUGAAUGGGCUGGUCACAGCCACCUGGGGCCCCCUGACUCCAUGGAGGAGAGCAGGAGGGGGCAGGAGGGGGCAGGAGGAGCAGAAGAGGGCAGGAGGGCAAGAGGGGCAGGAGGGGGGCAGGAGGGGGCAGGAGGAGCAGAAGAGGGCAGGAGAGGGAGGGAGGGGGCAGGAUAAAAUACGAUAAAAUACGACAUGAUAAAAAUAAAAAGCUAUGAUGAUUGAACAUAACAUGAUGCCAUGAUAGCCAUGAUAAAAUAUGAUACUGGCGAU
rnacentral:lncRNA from 1 species